rnacentral:rRNA from 1 species
AACGAACGCUGGCGGCAUGCCUAACACAUGCAAGUCGAACGAGACCUUCGGGUCUAGUGGCGCACGGGUGCGUCACGCGUGGGAACCUGCCCUUAGGUUCGGAAUAACUCCCCGAAAGGGGUGCUAAUACCGGAUAAUGUCUUCGGACCAAAGAUUUAUCGCCUUUGGAUGGGCACGCGUUGGAUUAGCUAGUUGGUAGGGUAAAAGCCUACCACGGCGACGAUCCAUAGCUGGUCUGAGAGGAUGAUCAGCCACACUGGGACUGAGACACGGCCCAGACUCCUACGGGAGGCAGCAGUGGGGAAUAUUGGACAAUGGGCGAAAGCAUGAUCCAGCAAUGCCGCGUGAGUGAUGAAGGCCUUAGGGUUGUAAAGCUCUUUUAACCGGGAUGAUAAUGACAGUACCGGGAGAAUAAGCCCCGGCUAACUCCGUG